rnacentral:rRNA from 1 species
AUUGAACGCUGGCGGCAGGCCUAACACAUGCAAGUCGAACGAGUGGCGGACGGGUGAGUAAUGUCUGGGAAACUGCCUGAUGGAGGGGGAUAACUACUGGAAACGGUAGCUAAUACCGCAUACCAUCGGAUGUGCCCAGUUGGGAUUAGCUAGUAGGUGGGGUAACGGCUCACCUAGGCGACGAUCCCUCGCUGGGCGGAGAGGAUGACCAGCGACACUGGAACUGAGACACGGGCCAGACUCCUACGGGAGGCAGCAGUGGGGAAUAGUGCACAAUGGGCGCAAGCCUGAUGCAGCCAGGCCGCGUGUAUGAAGAAGGCCUUCGGGGUGUAAAGUACUUUCAGCGGGGAGGCGUUACCCGCAGAAGAAGCACCGGCUAACGCCGUGCCAGCCGCCGCGGUAAUAC